CCUACACUGACUCCACUCAGCAGGAAGUAGCAAGACAGACAAUGACUACCCUGAUCCCAUUACCAACAUACGAUUCUGCUGGGUUACAACUGACAGCAGGGAAUUCUUGGUGCCACUCAUAAAUUUGUUGAAGACAUCCUGGGUGCCUCCUAUACUUCUCUUCUCCGACUUCAAAGGACUGAUUACUUCUCAUUUGUAAUUAGUUUAUGAUAAUUUCAAUGAGACUCUGACACAAGAAAAGAUAAUGUAUGCUUCUAUUCUGCUUUGUACAUCUGGAACUCUUCUGAGAUGUGAAAGUGGAGGUCAGGCACACAUCAUCUUGGGACAGCAGUAUUCAAGCAUGAAGGUGAAGGUCUGUAUACAAAAUACGGUGAAGGAAAAUGGAAGGUGCCUGACCUUGCGAUAAUUCAGGGCUACUGUACUAACCCUAGAAUGGCUCACCAGGAGACUAC